ensembl:lncRNA
GGGAAAGUCGCGCGGGGGUGGGGCGAGACUACAACUCCCGGCAGCCUUUGCGGGCGCCCCCUCGCCUGUGAGGGGAAGCCGCCAGGGCCGAGGAGGGGCAGAAGGUCUACCUCCCUCCCGCAGCCUUGCCUCAGGGUGUCCCAGCUUCUCCCAUCGCAUAACCCCCUCCUACAGCCCCCAACCCGGCCUCCCCGUGGCAGUCUUCGUGGUGCCAGUGGCCGUCGCACCACCCAUGCGCUGUAUUUUGGGGGGCACAGGAGGCCUGGGGAGCAUCGUGGCUGAGGGAGAGAGGACCCCCAAGAGGACAGAAGAAAACAUAAAACUUCACGGUUUUACGCAUGAGCAAGGCCUCCAAACCGGCCUGGUCGCACCCGCGCCUGAGAUCUCACGCCAAUGGCUUGCAGGGACCGGUUUCCUGGCUGCAGGCACGAAAAAAUCCUUCUCCAGCCCCAAGGACUUGACCUGGUGGGAGGAGAUGAACCUUUCCACCAGCCCGUUACACCAAAUUGCUGAUAAAGGUCGGCAGAAGAUAAAGACAAGAAAAAGGAAAUAAAUGGGAAUAGUCUCUUAUCAUCACUAAUGGACUCCCUGCAGAUUUUUUCUGGCAUGGAAGAAGAAUAAGGAUCCGGACACUGAUAAAGCUACCGAGAGGAAAUUAGGCAGGAGAGAUGAAUCAAAUCGUCCGUGGGUGGGAUGCUCUGUCCCUAGGCUGUUUUGGGGACCCCUCCGUCGGCGGUGGUGCUAGGAGAGCAAGUGAGGCUGCGUGUCAGCAGGAAGGGGGCCCUGCCUCAUUUUCCCUUUUAACAAGAAAAUACCUGCUUUAAAAUACCUUUUCAGAGCUCACCAAACAGGAGUGUUUCCUGACAAAAGCCCUGCAAGUAGUUGGAAAGGCAAUAAGGCAUGCUGUUAAAAUUAAACUUCAUAUUGCGAUUGGUUUGAUUUUUGUCUUUUUUUUUCUUUCCUUUUCCUAUGUGCCUUAAUGAACAUUUUAAAUUAUUCCUAACGGUGAUUUUUCUCCCGUCAGUGUAAACAGGCCGAAGUUUUUGCACUUGAAAGCUUGAACCUCAUUAAACAGUUUCACGCUGGACGGUGACAGCAGUGCCCACACCUGGGAUUAUCAAUGCUCGCAACUAAAAACAGGAUUUGCCCUUCAUCACAGAUAUCCUGAUAGGAGAACUGUCAAUCCCUUAGAUAUCAACAUUCCUUGAUGAUAAUUUCCUUGAAGAACAGACUGUCAUUUGUAGAUAAAACACCCUCACAGAAGAUAAACGUCUUUGCUGCUUAGUUCAGAAACAGCUUCCCCAGGAAUAACCACAGCCUGGAGGGUCUGAAACUUCUUCACAGGUGCUCGCAAAUGCCCCCAAAGUCAAAAAGUGACUAAUUUCCAGUAUUUCCUCGUGAGAGGACUUUGGUUAGCUAACUUGGAGACAUUACAUUGCGUAAAACAGACGACAGGCAGCCGGAGCAACUCCAAAGCAGGGCAAUCAUGUAAAAAGAUUAUGGGUGAUAUGGAUUAGAGAGCACUUGCAGGGAUUUGAUGCGUUGAGAUGGCAUGUACUUGAGAUGACAACUAAGUCUGGUGUAUUUAAGAGCUAAGAAGAGUUAGGAAAGCUGAUCGUGCCAUUGCAGGGAAGUUGGACUGGGUCCCAUCUGCUCUCGUGCUGUCGCGAGCAAGGCGAUAAGGAAGCAGCCGGCUCGGCCCUGCCCUGCCCGCGCAUCGUGGUUCUCCCGCACAUCCCACGCGGCCCGUAAGAGUACAAAAACCCCCCACAUUUCUAAGUUUUCACCCAACCAUUUGACCUAAUCUAAGGGUCCGGAUCGUCUGCAAUGGCAGAGAGCUGUCUGUGCCCCCAGGAUGAGUGUUUUCUUCUCAUGCAGACAAAAUAAUGGAAGUUAAUAGCGAUUUGCUAAUGAUGCGCAGCCCCGGCUUGGGAUUUGCAGUUAUACGGCGCAGUGGUAGAGAACGAAUCCAUGCCCCUUGGCGGGGUUACGUGUAGCCUGUCUGCCUGGCAGGGCUGAGUUUGCAGCGUCUCAGUAUUGCACCCUGAACAACGACGCACCUUUUUCACAUUAAAUUACAUUAAAUACAUUUAACAUUUUUCCAUGGAAGAAUGGCAAAACACUCAGCAAUAUCACACUACAUCGCAAAUGAAAACCAGCUGGAUAGCCAUGUAAGCAUCCUCCAGCAAAGCGAUACCACAUGCCAAAUCCUCACCCGGGAUAAACGGGAUUGACUCCGGCAUUUACACCGAGCUGCCCACCUCUGCAUCGGAGAGGCUCAGGACCAAGCCGCGUUGGUACGGCUCAGUUACAGCCCGGGUUUCCACGACAGUUUAUUCCGGAUCGUCUGCAAGCAGCCCAGGGCUCCCAUGAUAUUCCCGGUCAUUUUUCUGCCCUUCUGGUUUCUGCAGCAAGCAGGGUCACGCGAGAUGAACCCGCAAUUUUCACGUCCUGCCUCAGCAGCAUCGCUUUUGUUUUAUCAUUUAUUUACCCAGCGCCGGGGAAUUGGGGCUCGUCACCUCUCAGCAUCCUCAUCGUUUGCGCUAAAAUGCGUUUUAGAGGCUCCCGUGACUAAGCACUUAAUCUGGGGUUUAAUCAGCUGCUGCGCACGGGGGUAAUAACAUUUAUGGAGGGCUAAGCAGCGCAGUGGGUUAGUGUGCUGGGCUUUCGCCGGGGUGAGCCGCGUAUCAAAGCCUGUCCUUUACAAACCGGCAACCUUAACGCAGACCUGGUUGUUUUUAAUCCUUCCCGCUAGGUAUUAAUAGCCCGCACGCGUGCUCUGCUGAGCAGUUGACCGCCCAGCCACGUCCACGUGCGGAAAAGAGAUGUGAUGGGCUCGUUUCCCCUGAUGGGAGAGCAAGAAAGGCGCGAGGAUCGGGCGAAACGCUUUUCACCCCCUUUUAUCCCUUCAGCCAACCCUGAAGCAUGGGGUAAAUUAUGGAGAACUGAGAAAAUUUGCACUGAAAACCUUCUGUACGGAGGAGAGCUCAAGAUCCUGGACAUCUGGGAUUUUCUGACUACCUGAUGGUGCCUUGGUCUUUAUGAAGAAGUAUUGCUUUUUCCUACCCAGCGCGGCAGUUUCUUGUACAUAUGUAUAUAGCAGCCAAGCUGAACUGAAUUGACCCGCAAUUGCACUGUCCAAAGGGUUAUUUUUAUGACCGGUUCCCUGAUAAUGUCCUUAUCGCUUAUCACCAGCACCUGCGUAUCCUUCCUCACCUGGGCUGGCCCCAGGUGGCCCUUCCUCUUCUCCUGGAUGGAGAUACCUGCUUCGCCUGCUCCUAAAAACCUCCCGCAAGAGGAGUCCCCCCACUCCCCAGGCGGCUGAUCCCAGCACCUCGCUGGCCUGUAGAGCUUCCUCAUGGGUUUUUUCUUUUUUUGGUUUAAAUCACUUCUGUUCCUAACCUUACUCUGAGCAACGGUGUCAUUCCAGCCGUGACGCCGCAGGAGCAUCGGCAGAGCAAGGUUUGCAGGGACGGGCUGCGCCUUUGGUUCGAUGAACUGAUAUAUUUAGAAGAAAUGGGUGUGUUUUGGACACUGGAGGUUUUCCGACCUGAAGAAAGAGCUUGUGCGUCCGGAAGCAGCCCUGUUCCCAUGAUGAUGACCUCAUCUCGUCCCAGAAAAUCGCUUUAAGGCAACACAGGCAAUGACCAACCCACUGUCUCUGAGAAGGGCUGAUCGAGUUACUUCUGCUCUCGCUCCAGACGAAGAUGGGCAAUAAUAAAUAAGUAAUGUCACUGCUGAAAACCGCUCGU